rnacentral:rRNA from 1 species
UGAGGAAUAUUGGUCAAUGGACGUGAGUCUGAACCAGCCAAGUCGCGUGAAGGAAGAAGGUUCUAUGGAUUGUAAACUUCUUUUAUACGGGAAUAAAGUGCAUCACGUGUGGUGUUUUGUAUGUACCGUAUGAAUAGGCAUCGGCUAACUCCGUGCCAGCAGCCGCGGUAAUACGGAGGAUGCGAGCGUUAUCCGGAUUUAUUGGGUUUAAAGGGUGCGUAGGUUGUUUUUUAAGUCAGCGGUGAAAGUUUGUGGCUCAACCAUAAAAUUGCCGUUGAAACUGGAAGACUUGAGUGUGUUUGAGGUAGGCGGAAUGCGUGGUGUAGCGGUGAAAUGCAUAGAUAUUGCGCAGAACUCCGAUUGCGAAGGCAGCGUACUGGCGCCUGACUGACGCUGAGGCACGAAAGCGUGGGGAUCGAACAGGAUUAGAUACCC